GACGAACACUGGCGGCGUGCUUAACACAUGCAAGUCGAACGAUGAACCCGGAGCUUGCUCUGGUGAAUUAGUGGCGAACGGGUGAGUAACACGUGAGUAACCUGCCCUUGACUCUGGGAUAACUGCGGGAAACUGUAGCUAAUACCGGAUACGACCCUCGGAGGCAUCUCCUGGGGGUGGAAGGAAUUUCGGUCAAGGAUGGACUCGCGGCCUAUCAGCUAGUUGGUGAGGUACAGGCUCACCAAGUCGACGACGAGGAGCAGGCCUGAGAGGGUGCCCGGCCACACUAGGACUGAGACACGCCCCAUACUCCUACGGGAGGCAGCAGUGGGGAAUAUUGCACAAUGGGCGCAAGCCUGAUGCAGCAACGCCGCGUGGGGGAUGACGGCCUUCGGGUUGUAAACCUCUUUUAGCAGGGAAGAAGCGAAAGUGACGGUACCUGCAGAAAAAGCACCGGCUAACUACGUGCCAGCCGCCGCCGUAA
rnacentral:rRNA from 1 species